UGACGGGGGCAAUAGGAGCUCAUAGGAGGCACACUGAGAGUGGGGGGGGAUGACGGGGGCAAUAGGAGCUCAUAGGAGGAGGCACACUGAGAGUGGGAGCUGCUACAGUUGUAGGGCUGCGCUAGAGCUAGUUACGCUAACACCAGAGUUCCCUGGCAAAGCAGAGAGAGACUGGGCAAGACGGGGUCAGCCCUAUGUUCCCACAGCCCUAUGUUCCCACAUUUCUAAGGAUUUUUUUUUCACUGACAAUUUUGAAAAUUAGGCCCUAUGUUCCCACAGCCCUAUGUUCCCAGAUUUAUUUUGAAAAAUGAGUCCCGAUGUUCCCACAGCCCUAUGUUCCCACAUUUAGAUUCGAUUUUUCUGAAAAUUAAACCCUAUGGUCCCACAUUUCCUGUUAAGCCCCAGCCGUUUUCGGGACAAAAACACCUACAAAUGCAUGCCUAAAGUAAAUGAUCAAUUCCUCCAAAAUUAUGCAGUCAAUUUGCAUGUUCAUGUUGCAAAAAAAAAGUACAAAAAUCGCCAUUUUGAAAAAAAUGGCGGACCCACCCCCGGGUUAGGGUUAUAGGUUAGGGUUAUAGGUUAGGGUUAGGGUUAGGGUUA
ensembl:lncRNA